rnacentral:rRNA from 1 species
CCUAACACAUGCAAGUCGAACGGUAACAGGAAACAGCUUGCUGUUUCGCUGACGAGUGGCGGACGGGUGAGUAAUGUCUGGGAAACUGCCUGAUGGAGGGGGAUAACUACUGGAAACGGUAGCUAAUACCGCAUAACGUCGCAAGACCAAAGAGGGGGACCUUCGGGCCUCUUGCCAUCAGAUGUGCCCAGAUGGGAUUAGCUAGUAGGUGGGGUAACGGCUCACCUAGGCGACGAUCCCUAGCUGGUCUGAGAGGAUGACCAGCCACACUGGAACUGAGACACGGUCCAGACUCCUACGGGAGGCAGCAGUGGGGAAUAUUGCACAAUGGGCGCAAGCCUGAUGCAGCCAUGCCGCGUGUAUGAAGAAGGCCUUCGGGUUGUAAAGUACUUUCAGCGGGGAGGAAGGGAGUAAAGUUAAUACCUUUGCUCAUUGACGUUACCCGCAGAAGAAGCACCGGCUAACUCCGUGCCAGC